CUCCCCUUUCCUCCCUUCCCUAGGCUGCCGCCGCCACUGCCCCAGCUCCUCCGCCGCCCGGCACCACAGUACGCCGCCUCUAUCCCCGCCCCGAGCUCCGCCGCCUCCACCACCGGCUCCUCGCUGUAGUGCCAGCACCGGCCCGAACACCAGCUUCCUCACCCCUCCCUUUCUUCCCCGAGUACGGCAGCGGGAGGAGGGCCGCGACGCCGCUGCCGAGCACGGUGGGACCACUUUCGUCUGAUCUGUCGAUUUGCCAGACUCAGGUCGACAUCGCCGCCGCUGUCCAAGGUGAGGAAGAGGAGUGCGGCGGCGAGCUCUUCGAGUCCGGGCCCUCGCUGCUCGUCUUCCUGCUCAUCAUCCAGGGCGGCGGCAUGGACCUCUCCUGCUACGGCGAGAGGCUGCUCAGCUCUGCGCGCUUCGCGCGCUCUCUCGACCUCCCCCCUCCCCGGCCCCAACCCCUUCCUGCUCGAGAAGGAAAUGGAUACUGCUGUCAUUCAGAAGGACUUGGGCCUCCAGUUGGAGAAGCAAUAUUCGGGAAAACAGUAUGCUUUUCGUGUAUAAGAUACUUAUCCUGGGGUUCGGAGCCAUUGGCAUGGAAAUUGCCAAGAGACUAAGACCAUUUGGAGUGAAAAUUCUUGCUAUAAAAAGAAACUGGUCAUCAAAUACAGUGUCUUGUGAUCUUGAUGGGCUGGUUGACAAGAAAGGUGGUCCAGAAGAUAUGUACGAACUCGUUCGAGAAGCUGACAUAGUUAUAACUUGCAUGACGUUAAACAAUGAAUCAGUUGGGAUUGUGGAUCACAAGUUCCUGUCAGCUUUGAAAAAGGUUGUUGGUGAUGUUGCCCUCAAGCUUCACGCGGGGGAGCCAUUCACCAAAAUAGAAUUUGUGAACUAGGCAAACUGAGUAGAUGGCGGCAUUGUUGAUUUAAUUUAAGACGUUCCAGUUUGAAGCGGACACCGUCGUCGUCCCUUAGAUUCCCUCCUCCACCGCAGAUCGACUCCACUUGCGUCGACUCCCGCCGCCGCCGGGGUAUACUCCGCCAAGAUCGCGCCACCACCGCUGCCGCCACUGUGGAGGUUGGAGAUGCAGAGCUUGGUGCAGCAUAUGGAUAAGGCACGCCCAGUUUGACUUGCAUAAACCACUACACAACAUUAUAUGCUAGGAACGACGGGAUGCACGUCAGAAAACUUGUCAUGAAUGAUGCUUCAACGGAUGCUGCAGUCAUCUCAUCUCCGUCAGUCAUGAUGAAAAAACAUAUGAUAAUCCCCAUAAUCCAGUGUCAAUAUUACUGAUUUCUCCAUGUGCUAUGCAGCUUACAGGCAUGGAAAGAGAAUAGGAAAAACGAUAUACUUGCAGCUUCAGGUUUUCUCUAAACUUUUGUUUGCUAUCUUAUUUAAUCACAUGUUCAAUUGAUAAUACACAAAUAUUUGUCUACUUUCAGGCAGCAUUGAGUUUGCUGCACAUAGUUUGUUCCCUAGGGAAUGUUCAGUCUGGUGAAACAUGUUAAGAAGAAGUAUGGAAAUCCGCCUGUGUUCAUUACUAAGAAUGGCAUGAUAGGUUGAAAUAUGUCUUCAAGAUGAUAAGAGGAUACAGUACCACAACGAAUAUGUUAGAUGCUAUAAGGUGAUUUCAUUUCUCUGUGCAUAUGCUAGAACUGAACCACCAACACUGAGCAUCAUCAAUGUGUGCCACUGUAAUCGCUGACCAGAUUGGUACUUAAGUGCUCGAUAUGCAGCCUGAACUACUGCAGUUAGAAUGGAGUUGUUUUAAAUACUAGACUAUCUACAGGACUGAGCGCUACAGGUGCAGAGGAUAGUUCUUUCGAUUAAUUGUCGUGUUGAGGCAAGUGCAUGGCGGACCUUUUCUCCGUAUACUUGACUGUGUUGUUGACGCAGGUCUAUGAAAAUAAGUUGAGUAGUCUGACCAGAGGAUGACAGAGGACGUCGAGAUUUUGAUCCAGCAGCCUUGCCUCCUUUCGUCCGGCGUGCCGCCUGCAGGAGGUUACGUUCUAGAUCUUCAGAAUUUUUAGGUACUCACUCUCCCUUGAUGCUCUUUGAUCGAACCUACUUUGCAGGAAAGCGUGCCAGUAGUAAGAAGUUUUAGCAAGUCUGUUAUUGAAAGUGCUGUAGGCACUGAUGUGAUCCGAGGUGACCAACCUGAGCAGCAGUUUAGUGAAGGUAUACUCAGACCCGAGGAUCCUAGAAAAUUAUAAAUUAUAGUUGUUUGCAUAGCCAGAUCAUUGAUGGGUGCAUAUUAUUGUUUAUACAAGCAAACUUAGUUGAGUAGUUCAUUGAUUAAUUUGGACUAACUGAAUGUGAUCUUCCCAAUCUAAUAUGUGUACUUCUAGCUCUAAGGACUAGCAAGAGUUAAAUAUUGCAGGUUGUAAAUGAUGGAACUCAUAUAACUGAAUGUGAAGGAAGUAACGAGAGUUGCUAAUUUCGUAUUUUUGGUUUGUACAACUCAGGUGUUUGAUACAGUUCUCCUAAAAAGGGAGAAGUGUCUGAGGUGAUUUCUUCUAUGCAUGAUAUUACAGUGUCCUCCCGUAUUUUCUGUUUUUUGUAGGCAUGUUAAAAUGUUGUUGUUCCUUUUGACCACACUAAUGUGUCUGUCCACUCACCAGUCACCACGCCUAACUAUUUUCUAUUUAUUUUUUUGUAGGAAAUCUACUUGCUCUUUCAAGCUAUGAAUAUUUUAGAUCAGUAUAUUUUAAGGUUGUAAAGACUGAUGUGUCGGCUAAAGCUUAAAGAUCAUAAAUUCAUUGUUUACCCUACCAAGUUUAUUUCUCAUUGAAGAUUAUUCUAGAAACUAUAUUAUAAGCCCAUUGCUACUUUUUACAUGUAACUUAUGGUAUAUCCUCAUAUAUGUCAAGACUAUAAAACAAGUGUCUUCGUCC